rnacentral:rRNA from 1 species
AGCUCCAUUAGUGUAACUUAGCGUUGUUGCGGUUGAAAAGCUCGUAGUCGGAGUUCGGUGGGUUUUUUUCUCGGUCUACCGAUUGGUGUGAACGAGGAAAGACCACCUUCGCUCGUAUGCGUGGGAUUGUACUUAAUUGGACGAGCCUAAUUCGCUGCGUGCCUUAUACUGUGAAAAAAUCAGAGCGCUUAAAGCAGGUCUAUGCCUGAAUGUGUUAGCAUGGCAUAUUUGAAGAAGACCACACUCAAUCAACUGGGGGGGUGAGAGUGGUAAUGAUCAAUGGGGUUGUACGAGGCUGUCGGUACUGUUGGGCGAGCGGUGAAAUGUGUCGACCCUAGCAAGACCAUCAGAGGCAAAGGCUGUCAGCUAGCUCAUUUUCAUCGAUCAAGAACGAAAGUAC